rnacentral:rRNA from 1 species
GACGAACGCUGGCGGCGUGCUUAACACAUGCAAGUCGAACGGAAAGGCCCUGCUUUUGUGGGGUGCUCGAGUGGCGAACGGGUGAGUAACACGUGAGUAACCUGCCCUUGACUUUGGGAUAACUUCAGGUAACUGGGGCUAAUACCGGAUAGGAGCUCCUGCUGCAUGGUGGGGGUUGGAAAGUUUCGGCGGUUGGGGAUGGACUCGCGGCUUAUCAGCUUGUUGGUGGGGUAGUGGCUUACCAAGGCUUUGACGGGUAGCCGGCCUGAGAGGGUGACCGGCCAAAUUGGGACGGGGAUACGGCCAGGACUCCUACGGGAGGCAGCAGUGGGGAAUAUGGCACAAUGGGCGGAAGCCGGAUGCAGCAACGCCGCGGGCGGGAUGACGGCCUUCGGGUGGUAAACCGCUUUCGCCGGUGACGAAGCGUGAGUGACGGUAAUGGGUAAAGAAGCACCGGCUAACUACGUG